UUUCCAUAAAUUUAAGAUAUGUGGGUUAUGACAAUUCUCCAGAUAUGCUUGCACUUCAUUGUUUGGAUUUCGAAUGUUUGGGCCUGACAGCUCUUGGUUAAAAUCUCUUGUGAGCCAAAAAUACUUCUGGCCACCAUGCCCAUCCCACCCAUCCAAAUGUUUCUGGCAAAUACGCUCAAUGGACAAAAGCUAAAAUCCCCCAAGAGCUCCUGGCCUGGGGAAACUUUUGCCAAUACUUUAUUUAUCCUUAGUAUCAAAAAUAAAUGCUCGCUUUAAAAAAGAAAGAUCACAGCAAGUUUCCCCAGUUGGAGAAUACUAGCAAAUAAAACAAAACUUUAAUGAAAAUUGAAAGUGGUUGGACUACAAAAAGACAUUCAGAUGGAGUGAAAACAUUUUAAUUAUUCAGAGGAACUUUUGACUUCCUAUGACCUUUCAGGGUGCCUGGGACCUUGAGGCCAACUUUUGCUUUUCUUAGCCCUGCUUUAUGUCUUAAAAUUCCAGCUUCCGUUUUUGCCUUGUAUCUCAAGCCUCCUCUUCCUGCCCAUCAGCCUAUUUCUUUAUCUAAAAGAAGGCUUCAAGCAACUAGUCUAAGAAAACACUCUGCAGGGAUUGCUCUGCAUGGGUACUAAUUAUUUUAAGCCACGUUUGUUUGUUAUGUUUUACCUGCUGGGGUGAGCCUCACUUCCCAUGCAAGCUGCCACAGGCCAGCUUUUGCUUGGAACCCAAACACAUGUUGAUUCCACCAUGACAUGAAGACUCAGUGAGAGGAGCAUAUUGGGCUGUUUAGUGUUGCCACUGCAUUACAAACCAAACAUGAUGUCAGCUUUCGACAAUUUCCUUUGAAGAACUUAGCCGUUGACUGAACGUGGAGGGAAAAAUUUAUACUCAAGUGAGUAACUUGAUGCUGGCUAGAGAGCUGAGAAUAUCAUUGACACGUGAAGAACUUGAAUGAUGCUGGAGGGCUCUGUGUUUUACUUUCAGAAAUUCUCAGGUUGGGUCAAGUGUACAAGAUGAUUACUACCCAGUCAGGAGGCCAGGAAACCUCAUAUAUACACAUGUCUGCAAUUUGAUAGGGAGACUCCAGGCAUAAUCUCUACAAAUUACUUCUUCAGAACUGUUGUGUGAAAUGGCUUUUGUCUACUUUUCUUUAGGGAUGAUGGACUGAGUGACAAAUCAAUAAUCAUGCUGUUCUGUUUGUGGAUGACGUCUGUGAAGUGCAUCUCCUGAAAGCACUCCCAACAGAUCUUCCGUAUGCAGCUUUUCAUCACAGAGUGUGUUUCCAGGGGACACAAUAGAAGACAGUUGGUUCCACAAGUGUCCUAAGAACCAGAUUCUAAUAUGAGAUUUGGGGGCUGGAUGAUUCGCCAGCUACCUGGCAAUGAGAACACCAUCAUUGAUAACAGCUCAUCUAGCUGCUGCCACUGCUGAGUCCAAACUGCCAGCAAUGGAGACAGACACUGAGCCUUCCAUCUGCCACUAUUCCUCAGAGAAACCAGCCAGCCACUUGGUGACGCAGGGCGUGAACCAGAUGAGAGCCUUGAGAAUCCCUUUCUGAACUACAGCUUCACUGUGUAAAGGCAAAUAAAGUAACAGAGAAAAGCAAGCUGUUGACUCAGGGAAGUGAAUAAGAAACAGAAUACAUCAAUGGGCUCCAGGGAGACCCUGGAGGAAUAAGAAGUCUCAUAUCUGGAUGAGGAAGUUUUUCUUUGCACAGACCACUGUUUGUGAUUUGGAAAAGAAAUCUCUCUCUAUAUAUAUUAU